AUUGAACGCUGGCGGCAGGCUUAACACAUGCAAGUCGAACGGUAACAGGAAGAAAGCUUGCUUUCUUUGCUGACGAGUGGCGGACGGGUGAGUAAUGCUUGGGAAUCUGUUUCAUGGAGGGGGAUAACUACGGGAAACUGUAGCUAAUACCGCGUAAUAUCGAGAGAUUAAAUGUGUGGGACCGUAAGGCCACAUGCCAUGAAGUGAGCCCAAGUGGGAUUAGAUAGUUGGUGAGGUAAUGGCUCACCAAGUCGGCGAUCUCUAGCUGGUCUGAGAGGAUGACCAGCCACACUGGGACUGAGACACGGCCCAGACUCCUACGGGAGGCAGCAGUGGGGAAUAUUGCACAAUGGGCGCAAGCCUGAUGCAGCCAUGCCGCGUGAAUGAAGAAGGCCUUCGGGUUGUAAAGUUCUUUCGGUGGUGAGGAAGGUUGACGUGUUAAUAGCACGUUGAUUUGACGUUAGCCACAGAAGAAGCACCGGCUAACUCCGUGCCAGCAGCCGCGGUAAUACGGAGGGUGCGAGCGUUAAUCGGAAUAACUGGGCGUAAAGGGCACGCAGGCGGUGACUUAAGUGAGGUGUGAAAGCCCUGGGCUUAACCUAGGAAUUGCAUUUCAUACUGGGUCGCUAGAGUAUUUUAGGGAGGGGUAGAAUUCCACGUGUAGCGGUGAAAUGCGUAGAGAUGUGGAGGAAUACCGAAGGCGAAGGCAGCCCCUUGGGAAUAUACUGACGCUCAUGUGCGAAAGCGUGGGGAGCAAACAGG
rnacentral:rRNA from 1 species